UUGAACGCUGGCGGCAGGCCUAACACAUGCAAGUCGAACGGUAACAGGAAGCAGCUUGCUGCUUUGCUGACGAGUGGCGGACGGGUGAGUAAUGUCUGGGAAACUGCCUGAUGGAGGGGGAUAACUACUGGAAACGGUAGCUAAUACCGCAUAACGUCGCAAGACCAAAGAGGGGGACCUUCGGGCCUCUUGCCAUCGGAUGUGCCCAGAUGGGAUUAGCUUGUUGGUGGGGUAACGGCUCACCAAGGCGACGAUCCCUAGCUGGUCUGAGAGGAUGACCAGCCACACUGGAACUGAGACACGGUCCAGACUCCUACGGGAGGCAGCAGUGGGGAAUAUUGCACAAUGGGCGCAAGCCUGAUGCAGCCAUGCCGCGUGUAUGAAGAAGGCCUUCGGGUUGUAAAGUACUUUCAGCGGGGAGGAAGGGAGUAAAGUUAAUACCUUUACUCAUUGACGUUACCCGCAGAAGAAGCACCGGCUAACUCCGUGCCAGCAGCCGCGGUAAUACGGAGGGUGCAAGCGUUAAUCGGAAUUACUGGGCGUAAAGCGCACGCAGGCGGUUUGUUAAGUCAGAUGUGAAAUCCCCGGGCUCAACCUGGGAACUGCAUCUGAUACUGGCAAGCUUGAGUCUCGUAGAGGGGGGUAGAAUUCCAGGUGUAGCGGUGAAAUGCGUAGAGAUCUGGAGGAAUACCGGUGGCGAAGGCGGCCCCCUGGACGAAGACUGACGCUCAGGUGCGAAAGCGUGGGGAGCAAACAGGAUUAGAUACCCUGGUAGUCCACGCCGUAAACGAUGUCGACUUGGAGGUUGUGCCCUUGAGGCGUGGCUUCCGGAGCUAACGCGUUAAGUCGACCGCCUGGGGAGUACGGCCGCAAGGUUAAAACUCAAAUGAAUUGACGGGGGCCCGCACAAGCGGUGGAGCAUGUGGUUUAAUUCGAUGCAACGCGAAGAACCUUACCUGGUCUUGACAUCCACAGAACUUUCCAGAGAUGGAUUGGUGCCUUCGGGAACUGUGAGACAGGUGCUGCAUGGCUGUCGUCAGCUCGUGUUGUGAAAUGUUGGGUUAAGUCCCGCAACGAGCGCAACCCUUAUCCUUUGUUGCCAGCGGUCCGGCCGGGAACUCAAAGGAGACUGCCAGUGAUAAACUGGAGGAAGGUGGGGAUGACGUCAAGUCAUCAUGCCCCUUAUGUCUUGGGCUACACACGUACUACAAUGGGUGUAACAGAGGGAAGCAACACAGCGAUGUGAAGCGAAACCCAAAAAGCACCCCCAGUUCGGAUUGAAGGCUGAAAUUCGCCUUCAUGAAGCCGGAAUUGCUAGUAAUGGCAGGUCAGCAUACUGCCGUGAAUACGUUCCCGGGCCUUGUACACACCGCCCGUCACACCAUGGGAGUGGGUUGCAAAAGAAGUAGGUAGCUUAACCUUCGGGAGGGCGCUUACCACUUUGUGAUUCAUGACUGGGGUG
rnacentral:rRNA from 1 species